UUCUCUCCUCUCAGCCAGCAUCUGGUUUUCAAAAGGCAAGAUGUCCCCUGAAGUUGGUGCCCUGUCAGAUUCAGCAGCGAUUAAUGUUCUGAUGGAAAUGUCUGUCCUUGUUCCUGCUACAUGACAUUUAACCAUUGCCAAGAGAAGCCAAGACUCACUUCCACAACUAAUAAGAAGUGGACUUCACCCCACCAUGCAAAGGCAGACUGUCGAGGCUUUACCCCACCGCUCACCCAACGACUGCUGGAGAAAGACACUAGGACGGACAGCUGGAUAGAUGGAUGGACAGUCGGACGGAUGCUUGUUAAAAAAUAGAGAAUCAGAAAACAACAUUGCUGCAAAUCCAAAAGUCCAUGGAUCUAUAUAGUGAAAACAACUUACUGAAGUUUGAACAAAGCAUUGCAAUGGUGAAGAAAGGGGAUUUAAAUG